rnacentral:piRNA from 1 species
UGAAUUGGAGAACCAGUAAUUCUUCUCUAUUU